AUGAACGCUGGCGGCGUGCCUAAUACAUGCAAGUCGAGCGAACGGACGAGAAGCUUGCUUCUCUGAUGUUAGCGGCGGACGGGUGAGUAACACGUGGAUAACCUACCUAUAAGACUGGGAUAACUUCGGGAAACCGGAGCUAAUACCGGAUAAUAUUUUGAACCGCAUGGUUCAAAAGUGAAAGACGGUCUUGCUGUCACUUAUAGAUGGAUCCGCGCUGCAUUAGCUAGUUGGUAAGGUAACGGCUUACCAAGGCAACGAUGCAUAGCCGACCUGAGAGGGUGAUCGGCCACACUGGAACUGAGACACGGUCCAGACUCCUACGGGAGGCAGCAGUAGGGAAUCUUCCGCAAUGGGCGAAAGCCUGACGGAGCAACGCCGCGUGAGUGAUGAAGGUCUUCGGAUCGUAAAACUCUGUUAUUAGGGAAGAACAUAUGUGUAAGUAACUGUGCACAUCUUGACGGCACCUAAUCAGAAAGCCACGGCUAACUACGUG
rnacentral:rRNA from 1 species